rnacentral:lncRNA from 1 species
GGAUGCAAGGCUGGUUCAAUAUAUGCAAAUCAUAGUGUUGGAACUUCUGGCCAGGGCAAUUAGGCAGGAGAAGGAAAUAAAGGGUAUUCAAUUAGGGAAAGAGGAAGUCAAAUUGUCCCUGUUUGCAGAUGACAUGAUUGUAUAUCUAGAAAACCCCAUUGUCCCAGCCCAAAAUCCCUUAAGCUGAUAAGCAACUUCAGCAAAGUCUCAGGAUACAAAAUCAAUGUACAAAAAUCACAAGCAUUCUUAUACACCAACAACAGACAAACAGAGAGCCAAAUCAUGAGUGAACUCCCAUUCACAAUUGCUUCAAAGAGAAUAAAAUACCUAGGAAUCCAACUUACAAGGGACGUGAAGGACCUCUUCAAGGAGAACUACAAACCACUGCUCAAUGAAAUAAAAGAGGAUACAAACAAAUGGAAGAACAUUCCAUGCUCAUGGGUAGGAAGAAUCAAUAUCGUGAAAAUGACCAUACUGCCCAAGGUAAUUUACAGAUUCAAUGCCAUCCCCAUCAAGCUACCAGUGACUUUCUUCACAGAAUUGGAAAAACUACUUUAAAGUUCAUAUGGAACCAAAAAAGAGCCCGCACCGCCAAGUCAAUCCUAAGCCAAAAGAACAAAGCUGGAGGCAUCACACUACCUGACUUCAAACUAUACUACAAUGCUACAGUAACCAAAACAGCAUGGUACUGGUACCAAAACCUCAUCUUACAAAGGGCUAAUAUCCAGAAUCUACAAUGAACUCAAACAAAUUUACAAGAAAAAAACAAACAACCCCAUCAAAAAGUGGGCAAAGGACAUGAACAGACACUUCUCAAAAGAAGACAUUUAUGCAGCCAAAAAACACAUGAAAAAAUGCUCACCAUCACUGGCCAUCAGAGAAAUGCAAAUCAAAACCACAAUGAG